AUGCUUGCUUCAGUAGCACACAUACUAAAAAUUGGAAUGAUACAGAGAUUAGCAUGGCCCCCGCGCAAGGAGGACACGCAAAUUUGUGCAGCAUUCCAUAUUUUU
rnacentral:snRNA from 1 species